CCUUUGACGUUAGCGGCGGACGGGUGAGUAACACGUGGGUAACCUACCUAUAAGACUGGGAUAACUUCGGGAAACCGGAGCUAAUACCGGAUAAUAUUUCGAACCGCAUGGUUCGAUAGUGAAAGAUGGUUUUGCUAUCACUUAUAGAUGGACCCGCGCCGUAUUAGCUAGUUGGUAAGGUAACGGCUUACCAAGGCGACGAUACGUAGCCGACCUGAGAGGGUGAUCGGCCACACUGGAACUGAGACACGGUCCAGACUCCUACGGGAGGCAGCAGGGC
rnacentral:rRNA from 1 species